CCAAUUGAAGACGAAGAGCUGGUGGCCUACAACCUCAACAGUUUGGAUGAUGAUUUCAAUCCAAUAGUUUCUGCUCUCAUGACUAAAGAAAACCCUAUUUCUCUUGAUGAUCUUUAUUCCCAACUUCUGAGCUUCGAGA